rnacentral:rRNA from 1 species
GAUCCUGGCUCAGGACGAACGCUGGCGGCGUGCUUAACACAUGCAAGUCGAACGGGAAGAAAAAGAAGAGCUUGCUCUUUUUUGGAUUCUAGUGGCAAACGGGUGAGUAACACGUAAACAACCUGCCUUCAGGAUGGGGACAACAGACGGAAACGACUGCUAAUACCGAAUACCUUCCAAUUUCCGCAUGGAGAUAGGAAGAAAGGGUGGCCUCUACUUGUAAGCUAUCGCCUGAAGAGGGGUUUGCGUCUGAUUAG